AUAAAUAACUCUAGAGUUACAUAUGGUAUGUUUUUUACUAAAUAGCAUGACUCCACUUUUAUUAGGACUUAUGUUCAACUUGAGUUUUCCAAAAUAGAAAGAAUGGACCUGUUCAAGGGCAUCAUUUAAGUUAUUUACAGCUAUAUUAACAUUUCUAUUUACAGUGUAUAUUAACAAAUCAUCGGCAAACUGCAAAAAUUUUACAUUUGUUAGGAUAUGACCUGGAAUGCCUAUUUCGGACAGGAUUUGUAUUAGUACAGAUGGAUUAACAUUAUCGAAGGCACCUUGGACAUCAAGAAAUGCACAAACAGUUGCUGAGUGACCAUGAAAGGAAUUCUUAAUGUCUUCUACAAGAGAAGUGAAACUUUCUGCAGCACUACGCCCCUUUCGAAAUCCAAAUUGUUGUUCAGGAGGAGAUUGAGGUGCAUAUUUAUCCAGAAAAGAGGGGAUCCACUCAUCAUUUUUGGGUGUUUUGGAUAAGAACUUCAACCAGUCAGCUUUGCUGUACACAAAACGAUCAAUGGGACUACCUAUUUCAUAUUUAUGUACUGAAGUCUGUAUAUCAAUAAUAGUGGGAAAGUGAUAGCUGCCCAUGGAGUCAUCAUGAACUCUCCAGUGGCAGAGUGAAGCUAAGGAUGGACUUAUGCAGGAUAUAUCUAUUGCUGAGGGAUUUUUAUUAGGGCUACCUACUGUGGUUGGAGUUCCAGUAUUUAUAAUACAUAAGUCGUAUACAUCUAUAAUAUUGUAUAUCUCACUACCUCUGGAGUUAGUGGAAAGGCAACCAAAGGCAACAUGAUGUGCAUUAAGGUCGCCUGAUAGCAUAAUAGGUUUAGGUAAAUCAUUUAAAAUUUGCUUUAAUCUUCUUCCUUGAAACCUACGUUGGUUGUUAUUAGUAGGUGGACUGUAUGCGCAUAAUAAUGUCAGAUUACCAGCAUUAGUUGAUAAGAUUAUAGCCGUGGUUUGCAAGAAUUCAUAAAAGGGUGUGGGAGAAACUGUAUAUUUUAAAUGGUUUUUUACUAAUAUACCUACACCACAUCGUCCGUCCUUACCGUUUUGGUAGACGAAGUUGUAGCUGGGUAUAUUAAAAGUAUUUUUAUCUCUAAGCCAGGUCUCAUUUAAUAGACAAAUAUCAAUGUCGUUGUCAUAUAAAUAUUUUAUAAACAAUGGUUUUUUGUUCAUAGCGCCCUCUAUAUUAUAUUGUGAUAUUCUAAUAAAAUCUUUAUUCAUU